UGGGGGAUAUUGCACAAUGGGCGAAAGCCUGAUGCAGCGACGCCGCGUGGGGGAUGAAGGCCUUCGGGUUGUAAACUUCUUUUGCUCUGAACAAGGCAUGCCUUUGGGGUGUGUUGAGUGUAGGGGUUGAUUAGCGCCGGCUAACUACGUGCCAGCAGCCGCGGUAAUACGUAGGGCGCGAGCGUUGUCCGGAAUUAUUGGGCGUAAAGGGCUUGUAGGUGGUUCGUCGCGUCUGUCGUGAAAGCCAGCAGCUUAACUGUUGGUCUGCGGUGGGUACGGGCGGGCUUGAGUGCGGUAGGGGUGACUGGAAUUCCUGGUGUAGCGGUGGAAUGCGCAGAUAUCAGGAGGAACACCGAUGGCGAAGGCAGGUCACUGGGCCGUUACUGACACUGAGGAGCGAAAGCGUGGGGAGCGAACAGG
rnacentral:rRNA from 1 species